AUGUUGAUACAUUAUGUGAACAGCUCUCUGUCAUUUGUGUUUGUAGGCUUCAUCAUUAACAAGUGUAAGUGUGUCCCUUGUCCCAAUGGUUACUACUGGUACAAGCUUAAUGGCCAUCCUAAGUGUGACUUCUGUACUAAAGCCUGCUCAGUUGAUCGGCACUUGACACAGGUGAAGGAAUGCCGCCGGGACUCAAACCGGGAGUGCCACUGUGUCAGGGGCUUUUUCUGUGCCAGCACUGCCCAGUAUACCUGCAGGAGGUGUAAACCGUGCGUGUCUGGCACCUUCUCCAACACAGCAAACCUAGCCACGUCCUGCAAACCCCACACAGUUUGUGGCCAUAAGGGAAUGACCAUGGUAACAGAGGGCACUGCCUCUCAGGAUCGUGUGUGUGCCCAGACUUCCCCCACCUCUCCUACAACUACUGCACUUCCACCUGCUCAAAGCUCAAAGAUGUCCCUUCGUUCUGCUAUAUCCAGUGGUGUCGGCACCAACAGAGAACUCCUCAUCGCGAGAUCCGCAUCUCGACUGGUUUGGUCUCCUGAGAACGUUCUCAUCAGGUCCUCUCUGUCCCAAGCCAGGAGAGACCCCUCCAUCUCCCUCGCAACCAAGCUCACCACCAGGAGAAAGCCAUGCAAGGUGGACAGUGACACCUCACCUGCAGAGUCUGCCUCUGCACCCCCUCUUACCACAAAAGACAAUGACUCACCUCAUCUCCCAGUCCCAGCCUCUGGACAGAGCCCUCCCAGUCUCCCUUUGCUGCUGCUGAUAGUUGGGCUCUUAGGGGUCACUCUGCUGCUGAUUGGUUACUUUGUGGGGUGUAGGGGGAGGUCACUGGAGUCCAUGCACAAGUGGAAAGGUCCAAUAUUUCGGAAAUAUAUUUGUAAGGAAAGUCUGAGAGGGAGCUAUAAAGCGUGGGAGUGCCAGCCUUGUCCUGCUGCCCUACAGACGGCUUCCUAUAAGCAGGCCAAGCUGCCACAGGAGAGAAUCCCACACCUGGAGGCCCAGCAUCUUCUGGGGAGGGAGACUGGGGGAGAUCCUAGACAGGAGGGUACAGGGUCACAACUUCCAGGGGGCAUGCAGAAUGUCUCAGUAGAUCCCUCUGGAGGAGAAAACAUUAGCAACAUAGUAGGGUCCAUAUACAUCUACUCUCCAGGGACGGUUGUCCUGGGAUCCAACAAAUCAGACAGGGAGGGGGAUCAAGGGGAGAGUGGAGGAGAGGGCUGUCCCCUCACCAGCAAGCCCCAGCAGGAGUCCUCCUACCCACUCCCUUGGGGCUCCGCUCUGGGGCCAGAGGGAAUGAGUACGCCGAAGGAUACCUGCAAAGAGCUGAGCUACCCCGUGCCAGCCACCAGCAAUUGAAAACUAUGAAAAAAAUGGUGAGGGGGUGUGAGGGGGGGGGGGCAGGUUCAGUCAAUAUCAUACCAUCUCUGGGAGAGGGAGACUGAAUAUUAUUUGCUACUGUAAAGACAGACUGAAUAUUAUUUGCUACUGUAAAGACAGACUGAAUAUUAUUUGCUACUGUAAAGACAGACUGAAUUGCAAAAUACACUGGGGUCUAUGGGCCUUCUAUUAUUAAAGAGUGACAACUUGUUUGAACUGCAUGUUAUGGUCUUACUUCACAGCAGCAGUGCUGGGACAGUACCUAAGAGAGGAAUGCAUGUUCUGUAUGAUAUGCGGUGAUGACGCUGUGAGUUGGAGUUUCCCAUGCUAGGGUACAUGUUCACAAAUUAAACUGUAUCAACCACAAAAAAUGAAAAGACAAGCACUUCAUACGAGGUGUGAAGUAACUUCAAUAACCAUGAUAGUUGGGGUGUAAAGAGCAUACCAUUUUUCAUUGUGAAGUAAUACAUGGACUGUCUGGGAAAUGUAUACUCAAACAUAGCCAUGUUCAGCAUAGGGCAUAUUUUCAUUUUAAAGACAGCAUAACACAAUGACAAUUUUACAAGGCUACUGCCUUAAUGUCCUCUUACAGGGAAGAGCAAUAAUCAUACAAUUCUCUUUCAAAUAAAAUGAUCCACAUUUGCAGACAUGAAGCCGCAUAUAAUUGCUAUGUUAUCAGUAGCCUACAUCUGGUCACAAGCAUUGUUCUGUGAAUUUAUAUUCAAGACAUUGCUAUACAGUAACCUACAUGUAUGAUCUCCAGUCUGUUCCUCGACAGAAAUAGGAGAAUAUCAAAUUAGGUGUCAAAUGAAAGCUAGGGUCUAUAUUUUUGGGAAAUGAAGGCAUAGAUACAUUUUUCAACCAUUUCCAUUUUAAAAGCUAGGCAUAAGUAAAGGCAUUGAUUUCUGGACAAACCAAUGGAAAAUGGGUCUUAGAAAACAUAUACUAGAAAAAGUCUUAAAAGGUAUAGGAAAUUAUCUAAACACAAAAUUGUUUUCCUUCUGUAAAUUUAAGAAAUAUUGUCUUGUGCCUUGUAAUUCCGUAAUCCAAAACCCACAUACUGUGUCGUUAAAAUAUUUUCUAAUUUCUCUCCCUCAUGAGGAUCGAGGAUAAUGAAAGUUCCCAGAAGUAACAAGUAUGUAUUUCUCGUGUCACUACUUAUAUUUUAAUUGUAUCUGUAUCUUUAACUCUGCAUUGUUGGAAAAAGACCGAUAAGUAAGCAUUUCAUUGUUAAUCUACACCUGUGGUUUACGAAGCAUCUCACUAAUACAUCGAUUUGAUUUUGUUUUUGAUGGUAGACCUACCAAUAUAUUUGAGAUUUUGUUUAUGAAUUAUUAAGUGUUUAGAAAUCGUAAUUCCGUUACUAAAUGGAUAACUGCUGGAAGUAGAAAGACGCCCUCUGUUUCCUCAAACACUCAGCAUUUCAAGGAAACUCAUUUAUCUUGCCGUCGGGGCGGUAAUUCGAGCAUUCUUCUGUAGGCUAGGCA
rnacentral:lncRNA from 13 species